GUUGUUACAGAACUCUACAUGAGGGUUUCAAUGAGGUGUUGUUAUAGAACUCUACAUGAGGGUUUCAAUGAGGUGUUGUUACAGAACUCUACAUGAGGGUUUCAAUGAGGUGUUGUUACAGAACUCUACAUGAGGGUUUCAAUGAGGUGUUGUUACAGAACUCUACAUGAGGGUUUCAAUGGGGUGUUGUUAUAGAACUCUACAUGAGGGUUUCAAUGAGGUGUUGUUAUAGAACUCUACAUGAGGGUUUCAAUGAGGUGUUGUUACAGAACUCUACAUGAGGGUUUCAAUGAGGUGUUGUUACAGAACUCUACAUGAGGGUUUCAAUGAGGUGUUGUUACAGAACUCUACAUGAGGGUUUCAAUGAGGUGUUGUUACAGAACUCUACAUGAGGGUUUCAAUGAGGUGUUGUUACAGAACUCUACAUGAGGGUUUCAAUGAGGUGUUGUUACAGAACUCUACAUGAGGGUUUCAAUGGGGUGUUGUUACAGAACUCUACAUGAGGGUUUCAAUGAGGUGUUGUUACAGAACUCUACAUGAGGGUUUCAAUGGGGUGUUGUUACAGAACUCUACAUGAGGGUUUCAAUGGGGUGUUGUUAUAGAACUCUACAUGAGGGUUUCAAUGGGGUGUUGUUAUAGAACUCUACAUGAGGGUUUCAAUGGGGUGUUGUUACAGAACUCUACAUGAGGGUUUCAAUGGGGUGUUGUUAUAGAACUCUACAUGAGGGUUUCAAUGAGGUGUUGUUACAGAACUCUACAUGAGGGUUUCAAUGGGGUGUUGUUACAGAACUCUACAUGAGGGUUUCAAUGAGGUGUUGUUACAGAACUCUACAUGAGGGUUUCAAUGAGGUGUUGUUACAGAACUCUACAUGAGGGUUUCAAUGGGGUGUUGUUACAGAACUCUACAUGAGGGUUUCAAUGGGGUGUUGUUACAGAACUCUACAUGAGGGUUUCAAUGAGGUGUUGUUACAGAACUCUACAUGAGGGUUUCAAUGGGGUGUUGUUACAGAACUCUACAUGAGGGUUUCAAUGAGGUGUUGUUACAGAACUCUACAUGAGGGUUUC